UCCGGUUUGGCACCGGCAGUCUCCCUAGAGUUCCCGGCAUCACCCGCUGGCAACUAGGAACAGGGGUUGCGCUCGUUGCGCCACUUAAGGCAACACCUCACGGCACGAGCUGGCGACAGCCAUGCACCACCUGUGCAGGCUCCGAAGAGCGCCGGCUUUCGCCGGUUUCACCCUGCAUGUCAAGCCCAGGUAAGGUUCUUCGCGUCGCGUCGAAUUAAGCCACAUGCUCCGCCUCUUGUGCGGGCCCCCGUCAAUUCCUUUGAGUUUUAAUCUUGCGACCGUACUCCCCAGGCGGGAUGCUUAACGCGUUAGCUGCGCCACUGAGGGGUAACCCCCCAACGGCUAGCAUCCAUCGUUUACGGCGUGGACUAC
rnacentral:misc_RNA from 1 species